rnacentral:rRNA from 1 species
CCUACGGGGGGCUGCAGUGGGGGAUAUUGCACAAUGGGGGAAACCCUGAUGCAGCGACGCCGCGUGGGUGAAGAAGUAUUUCGGUAUGUAAAGCCCUAUCAGCAGGGAAGAAAGAAGACGGUACCUGACUAAGAAGCGCCGGCUAACUACGUGCCAGCAGCCGCGGUAAUACGUAGGGGGCGAGCGUUAUCCGGAUUCACUGGGUGUAAAGGGAGCGUAGACGGCCGUGCAAGCCAGGAGUGAAAGCCCGGGGCACAACCCCGGGACUGCUCUUGGAACUGUGCGGCUGGAGUGCGGGAGGGGCAGGCGGAAUUCCUGGUGUAGCGGGGAAAUGCGUAGAUAUCAGGAGGAACACCGGCGGCGAAGGCGGCCUGCUGGACCGCGACUGACGUUGAGGCUCGAAAGCGUGGGGAGCGAACAGGAUUAGAUACCCCAGUAGUC